rnacentral:rRNA from 1 species
GACGAACGCUGGCGGCGUGCUUAACACAUGCAAGUCGAACGGAAAGGCCCUGCUUUUGUGGGGUGCUCGAGUGGCGAACGGGUGAGUAACACGUGAGUAACCUGCCCUUGACUUUGGGAUAACUUCAGGAAACUGGGGCUAAUACCGGAUAGGAGCUCCUGCUGCAUGGUGGGGGUUGGAAAGUUUCGGCGGUUGGGGAUGGACUCGCGGCUUAUCAGCUUGUUGGUGGGGUAGUGGCUUACCAAGGCUUUGCCGGGUAGCCGGCCUGAGAGGGUGACCGGCCACAGUGGGACUGAGAUACGGCCCAGACUCCUACGGGAGGCAGCAGUGGGGAAUAGUGCACAAUGGGCGGAAGCCUGAUGCAGCAACGCCGCGUGCGGGAUGACGGCCUUCGGGUUGUAAACCGCUUUCGCCUGUGACGAAGCGUGAGUGACGGUAAUGGGUAAAGAAGCACCGGCUAACUACGUG